rnacentral:lncRNA from 1 species
CCCAUAUGGACUCAUUAUCAUGCUCUCUGUAGAUCCAGGGUGGCGUCCAUCAGCACUCUGUGAAAGUCCAUUACUUUGACCGCCUUCUCAUGAGGAAUGUGUCUGGCACGGCAACUUGUCAGACUCCCAUCUCCACCUCCCCUACCUCUGUUCCACCAACAUUGUGGCUGCCCCAAGUCACCUGUGGGAAAACAGACAUGACUGUUAAACUACCUGCUGGAAUGCUGAUAGAUGUGAAGGUGCUUGGUCCAGAGGCGUUGUUGCACGUUCAUGAUGGAUACAGUGUAACUCAGUGGAAAAGUCUCAAUGCCUUGUUUGUCAAAUUUUCCCAAUCAAAUGUGGAGUAUGGCAGUCUCUCGCUUCAACUGGUUUAUCAGAACUCUGCUGGAGAGUUGUCCACCACAUUGGCAUUUCAAGACAUCAAUGCCUGCAGCAUUCAUCACAAGUGAAUGCAUCACUGAUGACUACUGGUGUGCAUCAUGUAAUUUUAACAACCAAUGCAUAUUUCACUACAAUAUACCAUUUUUUCAUAGUGUAACUUGACACCAUCGAUAAAGGCUGCUAACCUAAGGCUUUUAUACUCUUCACCAGCUAUGUAAGUUAAUGCUCUUGUCAGGUGUUUUGUUAUACUUUUAUGUUGGAAUGCGUGUAUAUGACAGGAUUCAAGACGUAGAUUCUAUAUUUAACAACAUGGCAUAGUAUUGUAUAUCAUUAUAAUUGCUACCAGGAAUAUCCCUUUAGGAAUAUUAUCGAUCCAUUUUUUUUAUAAAAUAUAUAAAUGAGUGAUACAAAUACUGACCAAAAACAAUUAUGAUGUGUUUUUGGCAAAAGUUGUGAAGAUUUUUGCUAAUAUUUUACAAAGAUGUAUUUUACAAACCUGGCUAAGUUGGUUGUGUUACCUGCAUAACUAUAAUCAUAUUUCAGUUAUCAUUGGGCAUAUUCCACCAUUAUUGGAAGAGUUGUAGCAAUGUCAUACCAAUCCAAUUAAAACCAAUGGAGCUGGUUGGCGGC